GAAGGGGGCUAGCGUUGUUCGGAAUUACUGGGCGUAAAGGGCGUGUAGGCGGCCCGUAAAGUCAGGUGUGAAAUUCCUGGGCUCAACCCAGGACGUGCGCCUGAUACUGGCGGGCUUGAGUCCGGGAGAGGAUGGUGGAACUCCCAGUGUAGAGGUGAAAUUCGUAGAUAUUGGGAAGAACACCCGGCGAAGGCGGCCAUCUGGACCGGUACUGACGCUAAGGCGCGACAGCGUGGGGAGCAAACAGGAUUAGAUACCCUGGUAGUCCACGCCGUAAACGAUGAGUGCUAGACGCUGGGAAGCCUAGCUUUUCAGUGUCGCAGCUAACGCAUUAAGCACUCCGCCUGGGGAGUACGGCCGCAAGGUUG
rnacentral:rRNA from 1 species